AUCCAGCUGACGAGUUCCAAACAGGACGGAACGCGCGUCAAACUGGAU
rfam:Schistosoma margrebowiei strain Zambia genome assembly, scaffold: SMRZ_contig0000896